AUGAACGCUGGCGGCGUGGAUAAGGCAUGCAAGUCGGACGAUUUCCUUUUUUGAAGAAGAUGCGAUUACAUCAAGUCAACUGAUAUUUUGGAGAUAGUGGCGAACGAGCUAGUAACACCUUGGUACGUACCCAAAAGUUUGGUAUAGCUCGCCGAAAGGCGGGGUAAUCUCAAAUAAUCCCUCUAUCUAUCGGAUAGAAGGGUAAAGUCGCAAGACGCUUUUUGGAGCGGCCUAGGACCGAUCAGUUAGUUGGUGAGGUAAUGGCUCACCAAGACGAUGACCGGUAGGGG
rnacentral:rRNA from 1 species